UGUUAGGCCCAUUUCGAUCGCUACUGUACAGUCAAUGGCGGCAUGGCGGUGACGCGCAUUGUAACUUGGAAGUGUAUGCAUGUGCGACUUGAUGUGGCGUUGCAUGUCUCGUUGCAGGUCCCGUUGAUAAUACCAUGGUAAUACUCUGAGUGAUGGUGACAUAUGGUAAAAAGAUAGAGCAGUGUGGCUGUUUUCAAUUCAGAAUCUUAAUGGAUUCGAAGAGGAUAUUGAUGAAGUUUUGGUAUUAAAAAGUAUGAGUACAUGUUUGUUGGAAGGGCAACCGAAGAGUUCCGGAUCCUUUUGCUAUCGCACAGUAUUAUGGUAUUUUUACAAAAUCAUUGAAGUGCUUAACUGGACCCCAUUGUUUUCUGUGGCCCCGUUUCCCCUUGACUUAUAUUAUAUUCUUUGAAUCUUCAGUGUGUGUAAAACUAAAGGCUAAAAGAGGAAGAAGUAUGAUUCAAAAAUUCUGGGAGAAAAUCAUCAAAGAAUUAUACUUAAUUGGCUGUUUUUACUGUCCAUAGAACUUUUUUGGUCGAGACGUUAUGGGUGUCUUAAAGGCACUGAAGGUUGCGUUACAUGUCGUAACCCACAUCAAAAAGGAAACGCUGAAAAUCCCAGGUGGUGAUGGGAAUUAGUGGCAAUGUUACUGUGUAGAUAACUUCAGAAAGUGUGACGCUAGCUGAUGUAAACCGCACCAGCUGUGCUAUUACCGAGUCUGUCUCACUUUUGCCGACUAGCAGGAAAAGGUUGUGAGAGUAGCAGAAGAAGAGGAAAUUGCAGUAAACCCGGUUUUGAAAGAAGCCAAACAUUCCGAUGAUAUGGGAGCUCAGCCUGUGGAAACAAAAACCCUAUGUUUCAGAUAGAAAGACAAAAGGAACACAUCGUUCCUCAGCUACUUCUGAGGACCACUGUCACCGAAAGAAAAUCACCUCGCUUAAUGACUCGGAAGGUGAAAGCGAGACCCAAAAAUUUUCCACUAGGAAGCAAGUAAAGGGUCUUAAACAAAAGUGCUCAAAAGGAACUAGAUAACCACAGCAAAGGCUAAAAAAUCUAUGGUUGACAUAAACUUCCGCGACGAAGCAGUUAGAGUAGGCGAAAGCGAAUCGACAAUCGAGUGCGCGUGUGCGUCGUGCGUCACUCGCGGCAUUAGUAUUGCGGCCAGUAAGGCAUCCGACACAUGGAGGGAUGUUUCAACAAAUAAAACCAACGGGGUUCGGUUCAAUCUUUUAAACCAAAAUAGUGUCCAGUAUUAAGUUACGCGGUGGUUACAAUCCCAGUAACCAAAUAUACUGGAGGCAAUUUCGUGCUUUGAGUCCGGUGCAUUGCAAAAAUCCUAAUAAGAAAACUGAUGUAGGCUAGCGGUAUCCUGUAGUACGAGAACUUUACCGAUAGGGAUCCUGUGUAGAUGAGAUGAUAGUCACCACCGACUCCGUUUUUAACGAUAUUCCUCUCAAUAGACGGCGUUAGCUGUAAAAGGGGUUUUACACAGGUUCUGGGGUGGUUCAGAAACGUUUUGCAACCAGACGUCAUUUGAAUGGUGCAGUUCCUACCUGCAGCCCUGCAGUGUGCAAAAAUAGAUGGUGGAAAAAAUCUGCUCAUCAUGCUGAUCUGCACAAUGCCAGCUUCAUUAAGCAUUCUUGAAAUGACCUAUGAACAGAUUACACAGUAUUAAAAGACUCUUCCCUUAAGGAGAUUUGUAGCUGUGGACUUUCCUUAGAAGACUUGUAUCAAAUAUUUGCCUGCUUCUUGGAACUAGGAACAUAGGAUGUCUUGAUGACAACCAAGUAUCCUUGGAAAGAUUGUAAAAAGAUGGUUAAGCAGGAAAUACCUAAAGUUGGAGGACGGUAGUUUUUGUUUCCCGUUACUAGUUUUGUAAAACAAAUGUGGAGAUUGAUUCCACAAUCUUCAGUUUCCCAGGCAGAUACCCAUCCGCAAGGCAAUGGGAUAUACAUUUCCCGUAUAUUUUCGAGACAUCUAGUGGAGAAAUAACUAACUCCGUAGAAUUUUUAUUGGUGUGUCAGCUGUCCCGUCAGCUGUUCCAUUUCGCGUGGCUGCGGACUGAGGAUGGCUGCUGAAACGAACGUCUAUCUUCCUGAAAUUAUACCACCGAUUCCGUGUAUUUUGAGUUGCAUCUUGUGAAUUCAAUCAAUGCAGAGAUGUUCAAGGAGGAACAUGGCUUGGCUAUGCUAGCAUGUUUUGUUUUUUUAAAUCUCCGUUAGCCUGAUAUACCCAUUUUGUUUCAAAGGUGAUACGUAAAAAGAAAAGUUCUUAACAAUCUUUUUCUCUAUCAAAAUCUCUUAGAUUCUUGGAGGUGUCUUAAGUUGAUGUUUGAAUUUAUUGUUAAUAGUUUUAAGUUUUUUAAAUCAUGCUUUCAGGUCUUUGGGAUGUACCUGAUGUACUGUGGUAAUCGCAAAAUCAUUCAAUGACUUGGUUCAAUCCAGGACUUGGUUUUCUUGAUAGUGGUUUACAGUUUUAAUUUGCAGAGAUUCUGGAGGCACCUGAUGUGUUUCAUUGGCAUUGGAGGCACUCGGUUACACAAGAGAAUGCCACUACUGUUAGGUUGUCAGUGUAAAUAAAACAUAUUCUUUUUCA